CCUUCAAUACUGUUCAUCUGCUUUUCACAGCUGUAACCCAUUGGGGAUGAGGCUCCACAGCCCCACUCCCAAUUACACAAAGUGUGUGCCUACACAAACUCAACGCUUUCUGGAAAUCAAAACUUAUAUUCUCCUCAGUCACUGAAAAUAACAGAAGGCCACCAAAGUAAUAUAAGCAGGAACACCUUCCACCUGACCAGGCUGGUAAGAGCCCCAUCCAACUUGUCCUUGGACACCUCUAGGGAUGAGGCAGCCACAGCUUCUCUGGGCAACCAGUGCCAGGACCUCACCAUACCGUUUAACAGCAUUUCAGAAGCUGGAGAAUGGAUCAGAUCAUGAUAAACAUCUGCAAAAUCUUCAUCCCAGCUGGUUUCUUCAGGUCUGUUAUAACAAGAAGAAAAUGGUCCAUCAACAGAACACAUCAACAAUCACCCACGAAACCUGGCUCCUCUGCUCAUUCACAUCCGUCUGUUUUGAACACCACCUACAAGGCUGGACACAUAGAUUCAGCCGAACCCUCCCCAGUGCUAAAAACCACACCCUGAGGGAAACACGGGUUUAGGGUUUGGUGGAGGUUUUUUU